rnacentral:lncRNA from 10 species
AGUUCCAGCUACUUGGGAAGCUGAGACAGGAUAUCUGCUUGAGCCCAGGAGUUCGUGGCUGCAGAGAGCUGUGAUCACACCACCGCACUCCAGCCAGGGCAACAGAGUGAGACCCUGACUCCAAAAGCAAAAACAAAAGAGCAAAAACGAGAUUCCAAUGUAUACUCCCACCAAUUAAUUUGAAGGUGACCAUAUCCCUCCUAUCAAAUACUGUCACUCAUUUACAUCUUUGCCAAAUGUGGGAAAACAUAAAGUUUGGCAACCCUAUAUUGACUCCACCAUGCCUUGGGAAAGGCAGCCCGCAUCAGUGGCAGGAAAUAUUGGUGGAGCGAGCUGGGACUUGCAGGUGACCAAGAAGGGGGAUCCCGGAACCGGAAUUGUCUCCCUUGGCGUUCCGGAAGUAGAAGCAGAGUCAUUGCUGGGUGGCGCCAGCCCUCAGACUUGCCUCUUUGCAGUAGGAAGAAGGCCUCCCCACAUACCUUCCCACACUCAUCACCUUAAGCCAGACUCGGUGUCCAGUGAAUAUGACCAUCUCUUGCCCAUUUUCUAAUGAGUGUUUUCAUUAAUGAGUUAUAAGAAUGUGGUGGGUAAAUCUAUGGGCUUUGAACUAGUGAAUCAACUUGGUUUCAGAAUCUGGCACUGCUACUUACUAGUGAAUUUAAGCAAGUUAUUUCACCUUUCAGAGUGUCAGUUCCCUCAUGCAUACAAGGAAGAUAAAAAAUAAUGUAUACAAAAGUAUUGGAGUAAUUAAUACAUGGAGAACUACAUGUAAAGCGUUUAGCAUGAUGUCUG